CAAAAAGAAAAAAUAUACAAAAAAAGGAAAAAUAAAAAAUGAGAACAAGAAAAAGAGAAAUCAAGUACUCCUCAGUUCUUUGAGCUUCAUAAAAGUCCCCGGUGCUUUCAAGAUUAAGGAUUAUUCCAUACUCAUUUUUCCAACCAUGUGCAAUCCGAUUACAAGAACUUCAUCUAUGUCUCAUGAUCACCCUUUGCCCUUGCACAUGUCCACUAUCUAAAUGUGUGUGUUC
rnacentral:lncRNA from 1 species